rnacentral:tRNA from 2 species
CGGGGUGUGGCCUAGUGGCAAGGCGCAGCGUUCGGGACGCUGAGAUCGGCAGUUCGAAUCUGCCCACCCCGACCA